GACGUAGGUGGCGAACGUUAUCCGGAAUUAUUGGGCGUAAAGGGUGCGUAGGCGGCAUGAUAAGUUAUUGGCGGCAAAUCGAGGCUCAACCUCGUGGAAACUGAUAAUACUGUCUUGCUUGAGUGCAGAAGAGGUUAACGGAACUCCAUGUGGAGCGGUAAAAUGUGUAGAUAUAUGGAAGAACAUCAAUAACGGCGAAGGCAGUUAACUAUUCUGUUACUGACGUUGAGGCACGAAAGCGAUGGGGAGCAA
rnacentral:rRNA from 1 species